GACGAACGCUGGCGGCGUGCUUAACACAUGCAAGUCGAACGGAGAGGCCCUGCUUUUGUGGGGUGCUCGAGUGGCGAACGGGUGAGUAACACGUGGGUAACCUGCCCUUGACUUUGGGAUAACUUCAGGAAACUGGGGCUAAUACCGGAUAGGAGCUCCUGCUGCAUGGUGGGGGUUGGAAAGUUUCGGCGGUUGGGGAUGGACUCGCGGCUUAUCAGCUUGUUGGUGGGGUAGUGGCUUACCAAGGCUUUGACGGGUAGCCGGCCUGAGAGGGUGACCGGCCACAUUGGGACUGAGAUGCGGCCCAGACUCCUACGGGAGGCAGCAGUGGGGAAUAUUGCACAAUGGGCGGAAGCCUGAUGCAGCAACGCCGCGUGCGGGAUGACGGCCUUCGGGUUGUAAACCGCUUUCGCCUGUGACGAAGCGUGAGUGACGGUAAUGGGUAAAGAAGCACCGGCUAACUACGUG
rnacentral:rRNA from 1 species